rnacentral:rRNA from 1 species
GAUACGACUCUCGGCAACGGAUAUCUCGGCUCUCGCAUCGAUGAAGAACGUAGCAAACUGCGAUACUUGGUGUGAAUUGCAGAAUCCCGUGAAUCAUCGAGUCUUUGAACGCAAGUUGCGCCCGAAGCCGUCAGGCCGAGGGCACGUCUGCCUGGGCGUCACGA